UGGGAGGGAGAGCUAAACCUUCAGAGAGCCAGACACGCCUGGGAAACCAGAAGAGACUGCACUCUGCACACAUUACUGAUUCCAGAGGAAAACACCAAACGCCAUCUGGAACCCUGGUGCACAGAAGCUCCCAGAAAGGGCGGCGCAGAUCUUCCUGGUUGCUGCCACCAUGGAGAGCUCAUAAGCAACACCCCACAAGCAAACUUGAGCCUCCGGACCACAGGUAAGACAAACCUUCCUACUCCAAGCGACCUGCCUAGUGAACUAAGGACACAGGCCCACAGGAACAGCUGAAGACCUGUAGAUAGGAAAAACUACAGGCCCGAAAGCAGAACACUCUGAUCCCAUAACUGGCUGAAAGAAAACAGGAAAA
rnacentral:lncRNA from 1 species